ACUCCUGCGGGAGGCAGCAGUGGGGAAUAUUGCACAAUGGGCGCAAGCCUGAUGCAGCCAUGCCGCGUGUGUGAAGAAGGCCUUCGGGUUGUAAAGCACUUUCAGCGGGGAGGAAGGCGAUACGGUUAAUAACCGUGUUGAUUGACGUUACCCGCAGAAGAAGCACCGGCUAACUCCGUGCCAGCAGCCGCGGUAAUACGGAGGGUGCAAGCGUUAAUCGGAAUUACUGGGCGUAAAGCGCACGCAGGCGGUCUGUCAAGUCGGAUGUGAAAUCCCCGGGCUCAACCUGGGAACUGCAUUCGAAACUGGCAGGCUUGAGGCUUGUAGAGGGGGGUAGAAUUCCAGGUGUAGCGGUGAAAUGCGUAGAGAUCUGGAGGAAUACCGGUGGCGAAGGCGGCCCCCUGGACAAAGACUGACGCUCAGGUGCGAAAGCGUGGGGAGCAAACAGGAUUAGAAACCCCUGUAGUCCCAUGA
rnacentral:rRNA from 1 species